rnacentral:piRNA from 1 species
UAGGCUGUCUGCAAGCUUGAGGAGCAGAG